GGGGCAGCGGGGCGGCAGGCUUGCCUGCCGCCGCCGGCGACCGGCGCACGGGUGAGUAACACGUAUGCAACCUGCCCGUGGCAGGGGGAUAAGCGGGGGAAACCCCGUCUAAUACCGCGUAACGCGGCCUAGGGACAUCCCAAGGCCGCCAAAGGGAGCAAUCCCGGCCACGGAUGGGCAUGCGGCGCAUUAGCUAGUCGGCGGGGUAACGGCCCACCGAGGCGACGAUGCGUAGGGGUUCUGAGAGGAAGGCCCCCCACACUGGUACUGAGACACGGACCAGACUCCUACGGGAGGCAGCAGUGAGGAAUAUUGGUCAAUGGGCGCGAGCCUGAACCAGCCAAGUCGCGUGAGGGAGGACGGCCCUACGGGUCGUAAACCUCUUUUGCCGGGGAGCAACGGGCGCCACGUGUGGCGCCACUGAGAGUACCCGGAGAAAAAGCAUCGGCUAACUCCGUGCCAGCAGCCGCGGUAAUACGGAGGAUGCGAGCGUUAUCCGGAUUUAUUGGGUUUAAAGGGUGCGUAGGCGGAUCGUUAAGUCAGUGGUCAAAUUGAGGGGCUCAACCCCUUCCCGCCAUUGAAACUGGCGCUCUUGAGUGGAAGAGAAGUAUGCGGAAUGCGUGGUGUAGCGGUGAAAUGCAUAGAUAUCACGCAGAACCCCGAUUGCGAAGGCAGCAUGCCGGCUUCCUACUGACGCUGAAGCACGAAAGCGUGGGGAUCGAACAGGAUUAGAUACCCUGGUAGUCCACGCGGUAAACGAUGAGCG
rnacentral:rRNA from 1 species